GACGAACGCUGGCGGCGUGCUUAACACAUGCAAGUCGAACGGAAAGGCACUGCUUUUGUGGGGUGCUCGAGUGGCGAACGGGUGAGUAACACGUGAGUAACCUGCCCUUGACUUUGGGAUAACUUCAGGAAACUGGGGCUAAUACCGGAUAGGAGCUCCUGCUGCAUGGUGGGGGUUGGAAAGUUUCGGCGGGUGGGGAUGGACUCGCGGCUUAUCAGCUUGUUGGUGGGGGAGUGGCUUACCAAGGCUUUGACGGGUAGCCGGCCUGAGAGGGUGACCGGCCACAUUGGGACUGCGAUACGGCCCAGACUCCUACGGGAGGCAGCAGUGGGGAAUAUUGCACAAUGGGCGGAAGCCUGAUGCAGCAACGCCGCGGUCGGGAUGACGGCCUUCGGGUUGUAAACCGCUUUCGCCUGUGACGAAGCGUUAGUGACGGUAAUGGGUAAAGAAGCACCGGCUAACUACGUG
rnacentral:rRNA from 1 species